UACGGGGGGAGCGAGUGAUAUCCUGCAAUCACUGGGCGUUAAAGGGUUCUUAGGCGGUCAUUUACAAGACAUAAUCGCUGGAAGUAAAAUACAGUACUGGAACGUCUGUGACUUUGAGGAUGAGAGAAGAUGACGGUACUCUCUAAUUUUAGGGGUGACAUCUCAGACACAUUAGAAGGGGACCAUCAAUUGGUUAUUGCGGUUUUCUUGUCUUAUUUUAUUAUAAACCUGACGCUGGUCAACGGAAAGUUGAUGGGGAGCGGAACAG
rnacentral:rRNA from 1 species